UGAGGUCGGACGUUCGAGUCGUCCCAGGCCCACCACUGAUCCAGAAGGUUGGGCGUCGAUCUGAAGCUCUUGUUGUGCUGAGCGUGCUCUUAGGGGCCAUAGCUCAGUUGGGAGAGCGCGUGCUUUGCAAGCAUGAGGUCGUCGGUUCGAUCCCGUCUGGCUCCACCAUUUCCUGCAUUCCGAUGAGGGAUGCGGUCGAGAUGGUCGGUGGUGAAGCGCUUCAAGCGUGAGAGAAGAACAUCCGGUUCUUUUCUCUUCUGUCCGCACAAUCUGUUUCGCUGAUCCUCAGCAAGCCCCCAUGUGGGCGAGGAUGAGCGCUGCUGUCUGACAUUGUGAAUCUGGGCGUUUUCGAUUUGCUGGCCGCAAGGCUGGCGGGUCGUGACAAUCAAGCUUUCGGGCUUGAGAGGACACGAUCAUCGGGUGCUGACCGCACCGGUGUCGAAAAUGUCGAAGCUGGUCUUUAGCGUCCAGCCCUCUCGCUGAUCCGCCUGGUGCGGAUUGAUGAGAACCUCAGCCGAGGAGUGGGCAUGGACGAUGAGAACGAUCAAGUGUCUUAAGGGCAUUCGGUGGAUGCCUUGGCGCUAAGAGGCGAAGAAKGACGUGGUACGCUGCGAUAUGCUUCGGGGA
rnacentral:rRNA from 1 species